UACAGAGGUCUCGAGCGUUGUUCGGAUUCAUUGGGCGUAAAGGGUGCGUAGGUGGCGUGGUAAGUCUGGUGUGAAAAUCCCGGGGCUCAACCCCCGGAACUGCACUGGAUACUGCCAUGCUUGAGUACUGGAGAGGAGAUUGGAAUUUACGGUGUAGCAGUGAAAUGCGUAGAUAUCGUAAGGAAGACCAGUGGCGAAGGCGAAUCUCUGGACAGUUACUGACACUGAGGCACGAAGGCCAGGGGAGC
rnacentral:rRNA from 1 species